rnacentral:lncRNA from 1 species
AUGCCUCUGAGGUAGCAAUUACUGCUCCAGGAACUAGUAACCAUAGAAACAGCUCCACAGGGCCAACACCUGACUGCUCACCUCCGUCCCCCGACACUGCCCUAAAGAAUAUUGUAAAAGUUAUUCGGCCCCAGCCUAAGCAACGAACAUCCAUUGUGUCUUCUCUGGAUUUUCAUCGAAUGAAUCACAAUCAAGAAUAUUUUGAAAUCAGCACAUCUACAGUGUGUGCUAGCUCUACUUCCAGUCCUCCUGUUAGCCCACCCACCUCAUCUGUAGGAACCAUGGAGGUCAAGAACGAGGGAACUGACCACACAGAUGACACCUCUCAACAGGAAGAUAAUGAUCCACCAAAAGAGUAUGAUCCUGGGCAAUUCGCAGGCCUUCU